CAAUAGCGUAUAUUAAAGCUGUUGCGGUUAAAAAGCUCGUAGUUGGAUUUCAGCAGAGGGUAACCGAUGCUAUAUUUAGUGUCUGGUUCCCAAUGCUUUUCUUGUUGGCUACAUCUGCUUAACUGCUGAUGUGUCUCCAAGGCGUUUACUUUGAGGAAAUUAGAGUGUUCAAAGCAGGCCUACGCUUGAAUACAUUAGCAUGGAAUAAUAGAAUAGGACUUCGGUUUCUAUUUUGUUGGUUUCUAGAACUGAGGUAAUGAUUAAUAGGGAUAGUUGGGGGCAUUAGUAUUUAAUUGUCAGAGGUGAAAUUCUUGGAUUUAUUAAAGACUAACAUCUGCGAANGNAUUUGCNAAGGAUGUUUNCAUUA
rnacentral:rRNA from 1 species